rnacentral:rRNA from 1 species
CUACUGCUUUGGAGUUCGAUUAAGCCUGCGAGUCUAAGGGGUACUUGUACCCCUGGCAUAAUGCUCAGUAACACGUGGAUAAUCUACCCUUAGGUGGGGCAUAAACCCGGGAAACUGGGGCUAAUUCCCCAUAGAUACAGAACGCUGGAAUGCCUCUGUAUUCAAAGCUCCGGCGCCUAAGGAUGAGUCUGCGACCUAUCAGGUAGUAGUCAGGGUCACGACCUGACUAGCCAACGACGGGUACGGGGUGUGAGAGCACUUGCCCGGAGAUGGUUUCUGAGACACGAAACCAGGCCCUACGGGGCGCAGCAGGCGCGAAAACUUCGCAAUGCGGGAAACCGUGACGAGGGAACUCCAAGUGUCUAUGCAAUGCAUAGACUGUUUUUCAGCCUAAAUAGCUGUUAGAGUAAGGGGUGGGUAAGACCGGUGCCAGCCGCCGCGGUAACACCGGCACCCCGAGUGGUAGCCACUAUUAUUGGGCCUAAAGCGUUCGUAGCCGGUUUAGUAAAUUCUUGGGUAAAUCGUACAGCUUAACUGUGCGGAUUCCGGGGACACUACUAGACUUGAGACCGGGAGAGAUUAGAGGUACUUGCAGGGGAGCGGUGAAAUGUUGUAAUCCUGCAGGGACCACCAGUGGCGAAGGCGUCUAAUCAUAACGGCUCUGACGGUGAGGAACGAAACCCUGGGGCGCAAACGGGAUUAGAUACCCCGGUAGUCCAGGGCGUAAACGCUGCUGACUUGGUGUUGGAGAUCCUACGAGGGUGUCCAGUGCUGGCGCGAAGGUAUUAAGUCAGCCGCCUGGGGAGUACGGUCGCAAGA